UACCCAUCUAUGACCUCUGGUGGAGAAUUCGCCCUAAAACCUACCACAUCGGAGUCGGAAACACACCUAGCCCAAAACUCCUCGUUAACAACCUCUUUCAUGGCAUGCACAAACUAACUUUUCUCAUAUGAUGUAUAAUGCUGGUAACGAGAGAGUACAAAAUUUAGUUAAAGAUUUCUGACCCCAUCUCGCCGCCUGGUCGUGAUGUGAGCUUCCCCU
rnacentral:lncRNA from 1 species